ACUACAUGAAGCUGGAAUCGCUAGUAAUCGCGGAUCAGCAUGCCGCGGUGAAUACGUUCCCGGGCCUUGUACACACCGCCCGUCACACCAUGGGAGUUUGUAACACCCGAAGUCAGUAUCCUAACCGCAAGGGGGGAGCUGCCGAAGGUGGGAUAAGCGACUGGGGUGAAGUCGUAACAAGGUAUC
rnacentral:rRNA from 1 species